GACAGCAUGGUGUAGUGGUUUGAACAUUAGACUAAGACUCUGGAGGCCAGGGCUCAAAUUCCCAUUUGGCCA